AUUGAACGCUGGCGGCAUGCUUUACACAUGCAAGUCGAACGGUAACAGGCCGCAAGGUGCUGACGAGUGGCGAACGGGUGAAUAAUGCAUCGGAACGUGCCCAGUCGUGGGGGAUAACGCAGCGAAAGCUGCGCUAAUACCGCAUACGAUCUAUGGAUGAAAGCGGGGGACCGUAAGGCCUCGCGCGAUUGGAGCGGCCGAUAUCAGAUUAGGUAGUUGGUGGGGUAAAGGCUCACCAAGCCAACGAUCUGUAGCUGGUCUGAGAGGACGACCAGCCACACUGGGACUGAGACACGGCCCAGACUCCUAUGGGAGGCAGCAGUGGGGAAUUUUGGACAAUGGGCGCAAGCCUGAUCCAGCAAUGCCGCGUGCAGGAAGAAGGCC
rnacentral:rRNA from 1 species